rnacentral:rRNA from 1 species
AGAGUUUGAUCCUGGCUCAGGAGGAGCGUUGGCGGUGUGCCUAAUACAUGCAAGUCGAACGGUGACGAUUUUGUAGCAAUACGAAUGAAAUCAUAGUGGCGAACGGGUGAGUAACGCGUUGGUGAUCUGCCUCGAAGUGUGGACUAACUUCCCGAAAGGGUAGCUAAUACCGCAUAGUCUCUCAAGGUUUAAAAAAUUGAGAGUAAAGGAUUUAUUCGCUUCGAGAGGAGCCUGCGUCCCAUCAGCUAGUUGGUAGGGUAAUAGCCUACCAAGGCAAUGACGGGUAGGGGACCUGAGAGGGUGGCCCCCCACAAUGGAACUGAAACACGGUCCAUACACCUACGGGUGGCAGCAGUAGGGAAUAUUAGAAAUGGGCGAAAGCCUGAUCUAGCAACACCGCGUGUGCGAUGAAGGCCUUCGGGUUGUAAAGCACUUUUUGGAGGGAAUAGGAAGGAAGGUACCUCCAGAAUAAGUCUCGGCUAACUACGUGCCAGCAGCCGCGGUAACACGUAGGAGGCAAACGUUAUCCGGAUUCACUGGGCGUAAAGCGCGUGUAGGUGGUUCUGUAAGUAGGGCGUGAAAGCUCCCGGCUCAACUGGGAGAGGCCGUACUAAACUGCAGAGCUAGAGGAUGGUAGAGGGAGGUGGAAUUCCAGGUGUAGUGGUGAAAUGCGCAGAUAUCUGGAGGAACACCAGUGGCGAAGGCGGCCUCCUGGACCAUUCCUGACACUCAGACGCGAAAGCUAGGGUAGCAUCAAAAAGGACUUNCUCCNNUNNUCCUNNCCCUNNNCGACCCCAGUAGGGAUCGGCGGUUUAAUCACCGUCGGUGUCCAAGCUAACGCGAUAAGUCUGCCGCCUGAGGACUACGGCCGCAAGGCUAAAACUCAAAGGAAUUGACGGGUCCCCGCACAAGCAGCGGAGCGUGUGGUUUAAUUCGAUGCUCCGCGAAGAACCUUACCUGGGUUUGACAUAACAGUGGUAGAGAAGUGAAAACGGAUCGACCCUUCGGGGAGCUGUUACAGGUGUUGCAUGCCUGUCGUCAGCUCGUGUCGUGAGAUGUUCGGUUAAGUCCGCUAACGAGCGCAACCCGCGCUGUGUGUUACAAGUGUCACACAGUACCGCCGGUAUUAAGUCGGAGGAAGGUGCGGAUGACGUCAAGUCAGCAUGACCUUUAUAUCCAGGGCUACACACACGCUACAAUGGUCAGAACAAUAGGUUGCCAAGCCGCAAGGCGGAGCCAAUCCUCCAAAUCUGGCCUCAGUUCAGAUUGCAGGCUGCAACUCGCCUGCAUGAAGUCGGAGUUGCUAGUAACCGCAGGUCAGCAUACUGCGGUGAAUACGUUCCCGGGGAUUGUACACACCGCCCGUCA